rnacentral:rRNA from 1 species
GAUGAACGCUGGCGGCGUGCCUAAUACAUGCAAGUCGAGCGAACAGAUGAGGAGCUUGCUCCUCUGACGUUAGCGGCGGACGGGUGAGUAACACGUGGAUAACCUACCUAUAAGACUGGGAUAACUUCGGGAAACCGGAGCUAAUACCGGAUAAUAUAUUGAACCGCAUGGUUCAAUAGUUAAAGAAGGUUUUGCUGUCACUUAUAGAUGGAUCCGGGCCGAAUUAGUUAGUUGGCUAGGUAACGGCUUACCAAGGCAACGAUGGGAAGCCGACCCGAGAGGGUGAUCGGCCACACUGGAACUGAGACAGGGUCCAGACUCCGACGGGAGGCAGCAGUAGAGAAUCUUCCGCAAUGGGGGAAAGCCUGACAGAGCAACGCCGCGUGAGUGAUGAAGGUGUUCGGAUCGGAAAGCUCUGUUAUUAGGGAAGAACAAAUGUGUAAGUAACUAUGCACGUCUUGACGGUACCUAAUCAGAAAGCCACGGCUAACUACGUG